rnacentral:rRNA from 1 species
CGCUGGCGGCAGGCUUAACACAUGCAAGUCGAGCGGAGUGAUGGUGCUUGCACUAUCACUUAGCGGCGGACGGGUGAGUAAUGCUUAGGAAUCUGCCUAUUAGUGGGGGACAACAUUUCGAAAGGAAUGCUAAUACCGCAUACGUCCUACGGGAGAAAGCAGGGGAUCUUCGGACCUUGCGCUAAUAGAUGAGCCUAAGUCGGAUUAGCUAGUUGGUGGGGUAAAGGCCUACCAAGGCGACGAUCUGUAGCGGGUCUGAGAGGAUGAUCCGCCACACUGGGACUGAGACACGGCCCAGACUCCUACGGGAGGCAGCAGUGGGGAAUAUUGGACAAUGGGCGCAAGCCUGAUCCAGCCAUGCCGCGUGUGUGAAGAAGGCCUUAUGGUUGUAAAGCACUUUAAGCGAGGAGGAGGCUACUGAAGUUAAUACCUUCAGAUAGUGGACGUUACUCGCAGAAUAAGCACCGGCU